UCAAAAUAAAAAGGAAACCGAUUUUCAUUGGCUAUUCAGAACUGUAGACUAUCAGCAGAUAGUCUACGAGUAAUAUAGCCAAUAAGAUUCACGGAUUCCCGAUAGACUACGACUAAAUUUAUACUAAAGAUAU